rnacentral:rRNA from 1 species
AGCAGCAGCCGCGGUAAUACGAAGGGUGCAAGCGUUAAUCGGAAUUACUGGGCGUAAAGCGUGCGUAGGCGGUGAGUUAAGUCUGCUGUGAAAUCCCCGGGCUCAACCUGGGAAUGGCAGUGGAUACUGGCUCGCUAGAGUGUGUCAGAGGAUGGUGGAAUUCCCGGUGUAGCGGUGAAAUGCGUAGAGAUCGGGAGGAACAUCAGUGGCGAAGGCGGCCAUCUGGGACAACACUGACGCUGAGGCACGAAAGCGUGGGGAGCAAACAGGAUUAGAUACCCCGGUAGUCCCUGUCUCUUAUAC